rnacentral:tRNA from 1 species
GAGGGUAUAGCUCAGUGGUAGAGUGUGUGCUUAGCAUGCAAGAAGUCUUGGGUUCAAUUCCCAGUACCUUCA